rnacentral:rRNA from 1 species
AACGUAGGGCGCGAGCGUUAUCCGGAUUCACUGGGCGUAAAGCGCGUUGAGGCGGCUCCGUAAGUUGGGCGUGAAAGCCCCGGGCUCAACUCGGGGCGGCCGUCCAAUACUGCGGGGCUUGAGGGCAGCAGAGGGAGGUGGAAUUCCCGGUGUAGCGGUGAAAUGCGUAGAUAUCGGGAGGAAAGCCGGUGGCGAAGGCGGCCUCCUGGGCUUGUCCUGACGCUGAGGCGCGAAAGCGUGGGGAGCAAACAGG